rnacentral:rRNA from 1 species
GACGAACGCUGGCGGCGUGCCUAAUACAUGCAAGUAGAACGCUGAAGGAGGAGCUUGCUUCUCUGGAUGAGUUGCGAACGGGUGAGUAACGCGUAGGUAACCUGCCUGGUAGCGGGGGAUAACUAUUGGAAACGAUAGCUAAUACCGCAUAAGAGUAGAUGUUGCAUGACAUUUGCUUAAAAGGUGCAAUUGCAUCACUACCAGAUGGACCUGCGUUGUAUUAGCUAGUUGGUGAGGUAACGGCUCACCAAGGCAACGAUACAUAGCCGACCUGAGAGGGUGAUCGGCCACACUGGGACUGAGACACGGCCCAGACUCCUACGGGAGGCAGCAGUAGGGAAUCUUCGGCAAUGGACGGAAGUCUGACCGAGCAACGCCGCGUGAGUGAAGAAGGUUUUCGGAUCGUAAAGCUCUGUUGUAAGAGAAGAGCGAGUGUGAGAGUGGAAAGUUCACACUGUGACGGUAUCUUACCAGAAAGGGACGGCUAACUACGUG